rnacentral:rRNA from 1 species
UACGUAGGUGACAAGCGUUGUCCGGAUUUACUGGGCGUAAAGAGCGCGCAGGCGGUCGUUCAAGUCGCGUGUGAAAGCCCCCGGCUCGACUGGGGAGGGUCACGCGAUACUGAUCGACUCGAAGGCAGGAGAGGGUAGUGGAAUUCCCGGUGUAGUGGUGAAAUGCGUAGAGACUCGGAAGAACACCAGUGGCGAAGGCGGCUACCUGGACGGGUACUGACGCUGCAGCGCGAAAGCUAGGGGAGCAAACAGG